rnacentral:rRNA from 1 species
UGAGGAAUAUUGGUCAAUGGGCGAGAGCCUGAACCAGCCAAGUAGCGUGCAGGAAGACGGCCCUAUGGGUUGUAAACUGCUUUUAUGUGGGGAUAAAGUGCGUGACGUGUCAUGCAUUGCAGGUACCACAUGAAUAAGGACCGGCUAAUUCCGUGCCAGCAGCCGCGGUAAUACGGAAGGUUCGGGCGUUAUCCGGAUUUAUUGGGUUUAAAGGGAGCGUAGGCUGUCUAUUAAGCGUGUUGUGAAAUAUACCGGCUCAACCGGUGGCUUGCAGCGCGAACUGGUCGACUUGAGUAUGCAGGAAGUAGGCGGAAUUCAUGGUGUAGCGGUGAAAUGCUUAGAUAUCAUGACGAACUCCGAUUGCGCAGGCAGCUUACUGUAGCAUAACUGACGCUGAUGCUCGAAAGUGCGGGUAUCAAACAGG